ensembl:lncRNA
CCCCAAGACUCACCCCCACACCCCAAGACUCACCCCAACCCCACCCUCCUAGACAUCCCCCCGCCAACACUCGGCCCCACCUCCAACUCGCCCCCUCCCCCUUACCCCGCGCCCUCUCUCUCCGCCUCCUUGCACGCCCCCAAAGCCCCGCCCUCGCACGCCCCAUCCCGGCCCCGCCCAAGCUCACGUCCACCGCGGGCCCCGCCCUGCGCACCUACUCGCCCCAUCCUCCCCUCCCCGGGUCAAAGGUCAAAGCCCCCUCCUCCCCACCACCCAACCCACCGGCUCCCCUGGCGGCCCCAACUGCCACCCCGGCCCCUCCUCUUCGCCGUCACCCUUGGCAACCAGCUUCGCCCCAUUCGCCGCCUCCACCUCCUCCUCUUCCUCUUCCUCCUCGUCUCACGGGAACCCGGCCCUGUGUGCCAAGGCGGCCGGCGGCCUGACCAAUGGGAACGCGAAGCCCGUGUCCACGGCGACCUCGGGACCAAUCACGCCCUUCCACACUCCCGCCAGUCCCGCCGGCCGACAGGGACCACAGACCAAUCCGAUGGGGAUACCGGGUCUCGUGCGAGCCAAUCAGAGCCCGGCGCCCGUCAGGCAGGGGGUUUCCCAGCAGGCAUUGCUCUUAGGGAAAAGCCUCAAAGGGUCUGGCCAAGAUCAGGUGCUGCUCAGAGCCCAGAUGCUUAUUCUCACGUCUGCAAUGCGUCCCGUCUCUUCCUCCGCCACUUCCUCCUCCGCCUCCUGCUCUUCCUCCUUCUCCUCCUCUUCCUCUCAUCCUGCUUCCGCUCAGCUCCAGAGCCUCACCCUCCGGCCCCCCUGGGACCCUCGGCAUCCCCCUCCCUCCGCCUGAAGCCCCCCUCUCGGCCCCCCACCCUCGCUCGCCCGGACCCCUCUCUUCCCCCGCUCAGGCCCCGCCCAACCCAGCGCCACGGCGACGGAGGGCCCGAUCCCGCCCAACCGCCACCUCUCCGUCG